rnacentral:rRNA from 1 species
AUUGAACGCUGGCGGCAUGCUUUACACAUGCAAGUCGAACGGCAGCGGGGAGGAGCUUGCUUCUCUGCCGGAGAGUGGCGAACGGGUGAGUCAUACAUAGGAACGUGCCGAGAGGAGGGGGAUAACUACGCGAAAGGGUGGCUAAUACCGCAUAAAUUCUGAGGAAGAAAGCUGGGGAGCUAGGAAUAGGCCUAGCGCUUUUUGUGCGGCCGAUGUCGGAUUAGCUAGUUGGUGAGGUAAAGGCUCACCAAGGCGAAGAUCUGUAGCGGAUCUGAGAGGAUGAUCGGCCACACUGGAACUGAGACACGGCCCAGACUCCUACGGGAGGCAGCAGUAGGGAAUUUUGCACAAUGGGCGCAACCCUGAUCCAGCCAUGCCGCGUGUGUGAUGAAGGUCUUAGGAUUGUAAAAUACUUUUAUUAGGGAAGAACAAAUGGCUAUGAAUAUAGGCUCAUACUGACGGUACCUAAAGAAUAAGCACCGGCUAACUACGUG